rnacentral:rRNA from 1 species
UACGGGGGGGGCAAGCGUUGUUCGGAAUUACUGGGCGUAAAGGGCUCGUAGGCGGCCAACUAAGUCAUACGUGAAAUCCCUCGGCUUAACCGGGGAACUGCGUCUGAUACUGGAUGGCUUGAGUUCGGGAGAGGGAUGCGGAAUUCCAGGUGUAGCGGUGAAAUGCGCAGAUAUCAGGAGGAACACCGGUGGCGAAGGCGGGUCUCUGGGCCGAAACUGACGCUGAGGAGCGAAAGCGUGGGGAGCAAACAGG